GUGGGGUGACUGCGUACCUUUUGUAUAAUGGGUCAGCGACUUAUAUUCUGUAGCAAGGUUAACCGAAUAGGGGAGCCGGAGGGAAACCGAGUCUUAAUUGGGCGUUAAGUUGCAGGGUAUAGACCCGAAACCCGGUGAUCUAGCCAUGGGCAGGUUGAAGGUUGGGUAACACUAACUGGAGGACCGAACCGACUAAUGUUGAAAAAUUAGCGGAUGACCUGUGGCUGGGGGUGAAAGGCCAAUCAAACCGGGAGAUAGCUGGUUCUCCCCGAAAGCUAUUUAGGUAGCGCCUCGUGAAUUCAUCUCCGGGGGUAGAGCACUGUUUCGGCUAGGGGGCCAUCCCGGCUUACCAACCCGAUGCAAACUGCGAAUACCGGAGAAUGUUAUCACGGGAGACACACGGCGGGUGCUAACGUCCGUCGUGAAGAGGGAAACAACCCAGACCGCCAGCUAAGGUCCCAAAGUCAUGGUUAAGUGGGAAACGAUGUGGGAAGGCCCAGACAGCCAGGAUGUUGGCUUAGAAGCAGCCAUCAUUUAAAGAAAGCGUAAUAGCUCACUGGUCGAGUCGGCCUGCGCGGAAGAUGUAACGGGGCUAAACCAUGCACCGAAGCUGCGGCAGCGACGCUGAUGCGUUGUUGGGUAGGGGAGCGUUCUGUAAGCCUGCGAAGGUGACCUGUGAGGGUUGCUGGAGGUAUCAGAAGUG
rnacentral:rRNA from 1 species